rnacentral:rRNA from 1 species
AACGAACGCUGGCGGCAUGCCUAACACAUGCAAGUCGAACGAUUGCCUUCGGGUGAUAGUGGCGCACGGGUGCGUAACGCGUGGUAAUCUGCCCUUAGGUUCGGAAUAACAGCUGGAAACGGCUGCUAAUACCGGAUGAUAUCGCGAGAUCAAAGAUUUAUCGCCUGAGGAUGAGCCCGCGUUGGAUUAGGUAGUUGGUGGGGUAAAGGCCUACCAAGCCGACGAUCCAUAGCUGGUCUGAGAGGAUGAUCAGCCACACUGGGACUGAGACACGGCCCAGAAUCCUACGGGAGGCAGCAGUGGGGAAUAUUGGAAAAUGGGCGCAAGCCUGAUCCAGCAAUGACGCGUGAGUGAUGAAGGCACUAGGGUUGUAAAGCUCUUUUAACCGGGAAGAUAAUGACUGUACCGGGAGAAUAAGCCCCGGCUAACUCCGUG